CACAAAACUAGGCUAAAAACUCUAAUAACUCGAAACACACUUAGAAUAACUCAAAAUAAUGAAAACAAUCAAAUUAGACACUAGGAACUGAAAUGGACGGAAAUUUAAUUAAAAGACUAACAAUAAUGAAAAUUGACUAAAUAAUAUAAUUUAAUAAUGGGUGGGUGUUUGGUUUUAACAAGAAGUAAAUUAAACUUAAAUAAAUUACAGAAUUUACAAAAACAUGAAAUUAAGAUGAAAAGAUAAAUGACGGACUAGCUAGAGGGUUAUUCUCCACACAUGACACAUAUGCAACCUAAAUUGAUUUUCAGUUUUUCUUUCAAUAAAUUGUAAAUCUCAAUACUCCAGAUUAACCGUGAACAGCACUAAUUAACCCUCAGUUUUUCCACAAGUUAUUGGGUUGGAUGAUUGCAUACGACAACCCAAAACAUUCCCUACAAGUUCCCUACAUGAAUUGCAUAAUAGAGAUACAAGCAAGAAUCAUUAAGUUCUAUGAAAAACAUAAGCAUUGACGAGGCACUCGUUACUAUGAUUUGCAUGAAACUUAUGCCAAGAAUUUACUUAACGUGAUUGUGACUAGCAACCUUCACUACUUUGAAUAUAAGUUCAUAACGAUUAGGUGAAAUUCACUUAUAUUCUAGCAUCAAAUUCAUGCAUGUAAAUUAAGUAUGCAUCCUUAAUCGACAUACAAAAAUAAGUUAUCUAUCAAGCAGUUAAGCAAAUUAAAUCACAACUCAGAAAUCACAAAAUUUGAUGUGAGAAUUACUUGACACACAAAUUAAACCCUCUUUUUGACAAUUGUAGUAUGGAUGUAAGUAGGGUAUCGUUCUAGGCCGGGAAUUAGGAGGGAUUGCUAAUCUAUUCUAAAUUAAUUUAAAAAAUAUUAAACAAGACUCAAGGACACAAAACUAGGCUAAAAACUCUAAUAACUCGAAACACACUUAGAAUGACUCAAAAUAAUGAAAUCAAUCAAAUUAGACACUAGGAACUGAAAUGGACGGAAAUUUAAUUAAAAGACUAACAAUAAUGAAAAUUGACUAAAUAAUAUAAUUUAAUAAUGGGUGGGUGUUUGGUUUUAACAAGAAGUAAAUUAAACUUAAAUAAAUUACAGAAUUUACAAAAACAAGAAAUUAAGAUGAAAAGAUAAAUGACGGACUAGCUAGAGGGUUAUUCUCCACACAUGACACAUAUGCAACCUAAAUUGAUUUUCAGUUUUUCUUUCAAUAAAUUGUAAAUCUCAAUACUCCAGAUUAACCGUGAACAGCACUAAUUAACCCUCAGUUUUUCCACAAGUUAUUGGGUUGGAUGAUUGCAUACGACAACCCAAAACAUU
rnacentral:lncRNA from 1 species